rnacentral:rRNA from 1 species
CCCUACUGCUAUCGGGAUGGGACUAAGACAUGCUAGUCGAGCGCCUUGAGCUAUGGCGAGGCGCGGCGUACAGCUCAGUAACACGUGGCUAACCUACCCUUAGGACGGAGACAACCCCGGGAAACUGGGGCUAAUAUCUGAUAGGUGAGGAGGCCUGGAAUGGUUCUUCGCUGAAAAGGCGUUGAAACCAUGCUUUUCAGCGUCGCCUAAGGAUGGGGCCGCGUCCGAUCAGGUUGUUGGUGGGGUAACGGCUCACCAAGCCUAUAACCGGUACGGGCCGUGAGAGCGGGAGCCCGGAGAUGGGCACUGAGACAAGGGCCCAGGCCCUACGGGGCGCAGCAGUCGCGAAAACUCCGCAAUGCGCGAAAGCGUGACGGGGCUACCCCGAGUGCCGUCCGCUGAGGAUGGCUUUUCCCCGGUGUAAUGAGCCGGGGGAAUAAGGAGAGGGCAAGUCUGGUGUCAGCCGCCGCGGUAAUACCAGCUCUCCGAGUGGUAGGGACGAUUAUUGGGCUUAAAGCGUCCGUAGCCGGCUUAGCAAGUCUUCUGUUAAAUUCAGCGACCUAAUCGUUGAGCCGCGGGAGAUACUACUAGGCUAGGAGGCGGGAGAGGCCGACGGUAUUCUCGGGGUAGGGGUGAAAUCCUAUAAUCCCGGGAGGACCACCAGUGGCGAAGGCUGUCGGCUAGAACGCGCUCGACGGUGAGGGACGAAAGCUGGGGGAGCGAACCGGAUUAGAUACCCGGGUAGUCCCAGCUGUAAACGAUGCGGGCUAGGUGUUGGGGUGGCUACGAGCCACUUCAGUGCCGCAGGGAAGCCAUUAAGCCCGCCGCCUGGGGAGUACGGCCGCAAGGCUGAAACUUAAAGGAAUUGGCGGGGGAGCACCACAAGGCGUGAAGCUUGCGGUUC